rnacentral:lncRNA from 1 species
CAAGCGACGCCUGGAAGCCAAUGUCAAGAGCAAGAUCCUUCAGAGGCGCUGGGGUCUGCCCAGGCGAGUUGUGGAGUCUCUGCAGACGUUCGUCCCAUUCUCUCCACUCCUCUUUGCGAAGAACAAGAAGGCAGGGAAGAGGUCCCCUCUGAAGAGCAGAUGCCUUCCGGCCGUGGCACCACACGUCUCCAGGAAGUCUUGCUGCUCGUCAGGCAAGCAGCAACUGAAGCUGAGCUGCAGCUGGAAGGAGCAGGAGCUGCCAAGGCAUCACACCAAGAGAGUCCUGGAGAUGCAGUUAGGCCUGUUUGCUCCUGCAGUCCAGCAGUCACAUGACAUUGGCCAGAAAACCUUGCAAGGCGUGCUUCCGAAAGUCCUGCCGCCUGGGACCGGGCCUCUGAAGCAAAGAUCUCAGGAUCUCCUCUUUGUGGAUCAGGCAGCUCUUGGCCACCUCCGACUCAACAUCACCCACAAACGCCUCAUCUGCCAGUGGGGGCUUCCCACCGUAUUCAGCAGGUCCCUCGCCCUACUGUCCCGGGACGCUGCGUUGCCCCGCCCAGUUGCCUUCUGCCCCAGCACACGUGCCCCUUUCUGCUUCUCUUCCAGAGAGACCCCAUUCCUCGACCGGGGCCCUCGGGAGCUCCUGGAGUGGAGCGUGAAGAGGAGGUCGUUGCAGCACAACUGGGGCCUCCCGGGCCUCAUCCAGAAAUCUCUCCAGGGUUUCGUAGCCACCAGCCCCCCAGUUUGCUCCCAGCCAUACCGGCACAGAGAGGUCUCCUUUUCCCCAGCUGAACUUUCCUUCCUCACCAAGGCCACCCAACGGGCUCUGGAGAAGAACGUGCAGAGGAGGAUCGUCCAGCAGCGCUGGCUGCUCCCCAGGAGGGUCCUCGAGUCAGUGAAGGGGCUCUACCCACGGCCCUUGCUGGGCCAGCACAUGCCCAGUGGCCCUUGGGGCAAGGGGACCACCAGGCAGGGGCAGAGAGAGAAGAAGGCAGAAAGGGCGUCCGUGGAGGGCCCACAGCAGAUCCUCGUCCUGAACGCUGUGGUUCAGA